GUAGUGUCUGAGGAGGCGGGACAUGGUUCACUCGUGACAUUCUGGGCGCCAUCAUAGGGUGGUGGCCGGGGAACAACAGUGGAUGAAUCAUCAUCAUCACAAACAUUUCUGUGAUACACAAAUACUGUUUGUCCUCCAAAAUCAAUUUCCUCUUCUGACCAUCCCUCCCAUUUGAGACCUCUGGCGACAUGAUACCAAGCCUCUACUGCUUUCGUAAAUCCAUUGUCUAGUAAUAUACCUUCUUUAUCAACAAGCAAUUUCCUCCAAAACUCUAGUUGUAACCUACCACUGGGUGACAUUUGAAAAGCACAAACUUUCGCUAUAUUUUUCAUCUUGAACAUAGCUUCCUCUCCUGCUCUUUCUUUAACAAUGUCACAAGCUAAGAGACCCUUUGAAGGUCUAGCAUAUUCCUGUCCCAUUUUUAGCAAACAUGAUUCUCCCCGUAAAAGGGACAGAGAUAGGGAGAAGAAAAAGAAGGAAUGUCUACAGUGCUCGACUGCCACGAGGAAUUAAUUCCUGUGCGUCUUCCCAAAACGUAGACUAGUCACGAGAUCCGCCCACCCGAGAUGGUGGCCACGGAUCAGUACGGGUGAGCGUGGGUGACUAACACAGCUCUGGGCAACAAGUAUAGGAAAGAUAGAGAAUCAGAGAGAAAGUGAACGUAGAGAGA